CGAUCAAGGGAGGAGGAGGCACGAGGCGCUGGUGCUGGGCGACGACGUGGGGUGCUGCUGCUGCUCUUGGGUUCUGGUUGGAGAAGAGCUUGGGCCAGCUGGGGCCUCGGGCGCCAUGGUGACGGGAACCUGCGGGAGCUCUCUGUUUCAACGAGGCAAGGCAGAGAGAGAGCGAUUAGCGGAGGCGGGAGGAGCAGGGGAAGAAGAAGAAAAACAGCAGGGCGACGCUCAUCUGCUGGGCGCGCCGGCGACGUGGCUGGCCGAACGGAGACGGGGAAGCUCGGGGCUCCGAGGAACGGGAGGAGAAGCGCAACCGCGGCUGUGGUGAUUGGCUCGCUGGGGAAAACGAGAGGAGGCUGGAGG
rnacentral:rRNA from 1 species